GCAGUCGAGCGGACAGAAGGGAGCUUGCUCCCGGAUGUUAGCGGCGGACGGGUGAGUAACACGUGGGUAACCUGCCUGUAAGACUGGGAUAACUCCGGGAAACCGGAGCUAAUACCGGAUAGUUCCUUGAACCGCAUGGUUCAAGGAUGAAAGACGGUUUCGGCUGUCACUUACAGAUGGACCCGCGGCGCAUUAGCUAGUUGGUGAGGUAACGGCUCACCAAGGCGACGAUGCGUAGCCGACCUGAGAGGGUGAUCGGCCACACUGGGACUGAGACACGGCCCAGACUCCUACGGGAGGCAGCAGUAGGGAAUCUUCCGCAAUGGACGAAAGUCUGACGGAGCAACGCCGCGUGAGUGAUGAAGGUUUUCGGAUCGUAAAGCUCUGUUGUUAGGGAAGAACAAGUGCAAGAGUAACUGCUUGCACCUUGACGGUACCUAACCAGAAAGCCACGGCUAACUACGUGCCAGCAGCCGCGGUAAUACGUAGGUGGCAAGCGUUGUCCGGAAUUAUUGGGCGUAAAGGGCUCGCAGGCGGUUUCUUAAGUCUGAUGUGAAAGCCCCCGGCUCAACCGGGGAGGGUCAUUGGAAACUGGGAAACUUGAGUGCAGAAGAGGAGAGUGGAAUUCCACGUGUAGCGGUGAAAUGCGUAGAGAUGUGGAGGAACACCAGUGGCGAAGGCGACUCUCUGGUCUGUAACUGACGCUGAGGAGCGAAAGCGUGGGGAGCGAACAGGAUUAGAUACCCUGGUAGUCCACGCCGUAAACGAUGAGUGCUAAGUGUUAGGGGGUUUCCGCCCCUUAGUGCUGCAGCUAACGCAUUAAGCACUCCGCCUGGGGAGUACGGUCGCAAGACUGAGACUCAAAGGAAUU
rnacentral:rRNA from 1 species